GAUCAUGGCUCAGGAUGAACGCUGGCGGCGUGCCUAACACAUGCAAGUCGAACGGAACUAUUUUGGAAACUCCUUCGGGAGCGGAAUCUUUAGUUUAGUGGCGGACGGGUGAGUAACGCGUGAGCAAUCUGCCUUUAAGAGGGGGAUAACAGUCGGAAACGGCUGCUAAUACCGCAUAAAGCAUCAAAUUCGCAUGUUUUUGAUGCCAAAGGAGCAAUCCGCUUUUAGAUGAGCUCGCGU
rnacentral:rRNA from 1 species